rnacentral:rRNA from 1 species
UUUUUGAAAAUAAUUUAAAGUCUAAUCUGCCCACUGAUAUAUAAUAUUAAAGGGCUGCAGUAUAUUGACUGUACAAAGGUAGCAUAAUCAUUAGUCUUUUAAUUGAAGACUUGUAUGAAAGAUUUAAUGAAAUAUAAGCUGUCUCUUAUUUAUAAUUAGAAUUUAAUUUUUUAGUUAAAAAGCUAAAAUUAAUUUAAAAGACGAGAAGACCCUAUAGAGUUUAAUAAUUAAAUUAUUUAAGAUUUUAUAUAUAAAUUAUAAUUAAAAAAAAUUUAAUUAUUUUAUUGGGGUGAUAGAAAAAUUAAAUAAACUUUUUUUUUUAUAAUUACAUGAAUAAGUGAAUUUAUGAUCCAUUAUUAAUGAUUAAAAGAUAAAAUUACCUUAGGGAUAACAGCGUAAUUUUUUUUUUUAGUUCGUAUAAAAAAAAGAGAUUGCGACCUCGAUGUUGGAUUAAGAUAAAAUAUAAAUGCAAAAGUUUAAAAUUUUGAUCUGUUCGAUCAUUAAAAUCUUAC